rnacentral:lncRNA from 1 species
AGUUUAGUGAAGAGAGAUUUGGGCCGUGUUUAGUUCAGGCUUGAAAACAUUUCGCGACACUGUAGCAAUUUCGUUUGUUUUUGAUAAUUAUUGUUUAACUACGGACUAACUAGGCUCAAAAGAUUUAUCUCAUAAAUUUCGACUAAACUGUGCAAUUAGUUUUUAUUUUCGUCUAUAUUUAAUAUUUCAUGUAUGCGUCUAAAGAUUCGAUGUGACGGGAAAUCUUGAAAAAUUUUGAGUUUUUUGGUGAAAGUAAACAAGACCUUGAGUUGUU